GUCCACGCCCUAAACGAUGUCUACUAGUUGUUGGUGGAGUAAAAUCCAUGAGUAACGCAGCUAACGCGUGAAGUAGACCGCCUGGGGAGUACGGUCGCAAGAUUAAAACUCAAAGGAAUUGACGGGGGCCCGCACAAGCGGUGGAUUAUGUGGAUUAAUUCGAUGCAACGCGAAAAACCUUACCUGGCCUUGACAUGCCACUAACGAAGCAGAGAUGCAUUAGGUGCUCGAAAGAGAAAGUGGACACAGGUGCUGCAUGGCUGUCGU
rnacentral:rRNA from 1 species